rnacentral:rRNA from 1 species
AGUGAACGCUGGCGGUAGGCCUAACACAUGCAAGUCGAACGGCAGCACAGGAGAGCUUGCUCUCUGGGUGGCGAGUGGCGGACGGGUGAGGAAUACAUCGGGACGUGCCCAGUAGUGGGGGAUAGCCCGGCGAAAGCCGGAUUAAUACCGCAUACGACCUACGGGUGAAAGGGGGGGAUCGCAAGACCUCUCGCUAUUGGAGCGGCCGAUGUCAGAUUAGGUAGUUGGUGGGGUAAAGGCCUACCAAGCCUACGAUCUGUAGCUGGUCUGAGAGGACGACCAGCCACACUGGGACUGAGACACGGCCCAGACUCCUACGGGAGGCAGCAGUGGGGAAUUUUGGACAAUGGGCGCAAGCCUGAUCCAGCCAUGCCGCGUGCGGGAAGAAGGCCUUCGGGUUGUAAACCGCUUUUGUCAGGGAAGAAACGCUUCGGAAUAAUACUCUGAGGUAAUGACGGUACCUGAAGAAUAAGCACCGGCUAACUACGUGCCAGCCGCCGCAGUAAGAC